AUUGAACGCUGGCGGCAGGCCUAACACAUGCAAGUCGAGCGGAUGAAGGGAGCUUGCUCCUGGAUUCAGCGGCGGACGGGUGAGUAAUGCCUAGGAAUCUGCCUGGUAGUGGGGGAUAACGUCCGGAAACGGGCGCUAAUACCGCAUACGUCCUGAGGGGGAAAGUGGGGGAUCUUCGGACCUCACGCUAUCAGAUGAGCCUAGGUCGGAUUAGCUAGUUGGUGGGGUAAAGGCCUACCAAGGCGACGAUCCGUAACUGGUCUGAGAGGAUGAUCAGUCACACUGGAACUGAGACACGGUCCAGACUCCUACGGGAGGCAGCAGUGGGGAAUAUUGGACAGUGGGCGAAAGCCUGAUCCAGCCAUGCCGCGUGUGUGAAGAAGGUCUUCGGAUUGUAAAGCACUUUAAGUUGGGAGGAAGGGCAGUAAGUUAAUACCUUGCUGUUUUGACGUUACCAACAGAAUAAGCACCGGCUAACUUCGU
rnacentral:rRNA from 1 species